rnacentral:rRNA from 1 species
AUGAACGCUAGCUACAGGCUUAACACAUGCAAGUCGAGGGGCAGCAUGGUCUUAGCUUGCUAAGGCCGAUGGCGACCGGCGCACGGGUGAGUAACACGUAUCCAACCUGCCGUCUACUCUUGGACAGCCUUCUGAAAGGAAGAUUAAUACAAGAUGGCAUCAUGAGUCCGCAUGUUCACAUGAUUAAAGGUAUUCCGGUAGACGAUGGGGAUGCGUUCCAUUAGAUAGUAGGCGGGGUAACGGCCCACCUAGUCUUCGAUGGAUAGGGGUUCUGAGAGGAAGGUCCCCCACAUUGGAACUGAGACACGGUCCAAACUCCUACGGGAGGCAGCAGUGAGGAAUAUUGGUCAAUGGGCGAGAGCCUGAACCAGCCAAGUAGCGUGAAGGAUGACUGCCCUAUGGGUUGUAAACUUCUUUUAUAAAGGAAUAAAGUCGGGUAUGGAUACCCGUUUGCAUGUACUUUAUGAAUAAGGAUCGGCUAACUCCGUGCCAGCAGCCGCGGUAAUACGGAGGAUCCGAGCGUUAUCCGGAUUUAUUGGGUUUAAAGGGAGCGUAGAUGGAUGUUUAAGUCAGUUGUGAAAGUUUGCGGCUCAACCGUAAAAUUGCAGUUGAUACUGGAUAUCUUGAGUGCAGUUGAGGCAGGCGGAAUUCGUGGUGUAGCGGUGAAAUGCUUAGAUAUCACGAGGAACUCCGAUUGCGAAGGCAGCCUGCUAAGCUGCAACUGACAUUGAGGCUCGAAAGUGUGGGCAUCAAACAGGAUUAGAUACCCUGGUAGUCCACACGGUAAACGAUGAAUACUCGCUGUUUGCGAUAUACAGCAAGCGGCCAAGCGAAAGCGUUAAGUAUUCCACCUGGGGAGUACGCCGGCAACGGUGAAACUCAAAGGAAUUGACGGGGGCCCGCACAAGCGGAGGAACAUGUGGUUUAAUUCGAUGAUACGCGAGGAACCUUACCCGGGCUUAAAUUGCAGAUGAAUUACGGUGAAAGCCGUAAGCCGCAAGGCAUCUGUGAAGGUGCUGCAUGGUUGUCGUCAGCUCGUGUCGUGAGAUGUUGGGUUAAGUCCCGCAACGAGCGCAACCCUUAUCUUUAGUAGCCAGCGGUUCGGCCGGGCACUCUAGAGAGACUGCCAGGGAUAACCUGGAGGAAGGUGGGGAUGACGUCAAAUCAGCACGGCCCUUACGUCCGGGGCUACACACGUGUUACAAUGGGGGGUACAGAGGGCCGCUACCACGCGAGUGGAUGCCAAUCCCCAAAACCUCUCUCAGUUCGGACUGGAGUCUGCAACCCGACUCCACGAAGCUGGAUUCGCUAGUAAUCGCGCAUCAGCCACGGCGCGGUGAAUACGUUCCCGGGCCUUGUACACACCGCCCGUCAAGCCAUGGGAGCCGGGGGUACCUGAAGUGCGUAACCGCGAGGAGCGCCCUAGGGUAAAACUGGUGACUGGGGCU